rnacentral:misc_RNA from 1 species
GGUUUCGCCUACUAUUUGUAUUUGAUCUCUUGUAUAGAUACUGUGAAUAAAUAAGUGCAUAAGAAUCUUCAUACCUAGUUAUGUUUUUAUACCGUAGGUAUACACAACCAACCUAAUUGCAAUUAUUUUUAUUUUAUUCUCUGUAUUUGGCCUAACUUGCUUACUUUCUACUAAUCAUAAGAAAUUUUGUUUUUGCUUUGUA